rnacentral:rRNA from 1 species
AGGGAAUCUUCCACAAUGGACGCAAGUCUGAUGGAGCAACGCCGCGUGAGUGAAGAAGGCUUUCGGGUCGUAAAACUCUGUUAUUGAAGAAGAACGUGUGUGACAGUAACUGGUCAUGCAGUGACGGUAUUCAAUCAGAAAGUCACGGCUAACUACGUGCCAGCAGCCGCGGUAAUACGUAGGUGGCAAGCGUUGUCCGGAUUUAUUGGGCGUAAAGCGAGUGCAGGCGGUCUUUUAAGUCUGAUGUGAAAGCCUUCGGCUUAACCGAAGAAGGGCAUCGGAAACUGGGAGACUUGAGUGCAGAAGAGGAGAGUGGAACUCCAUGUGUAGCGGUGAAAUGCGUAGAUAUAUGGAAGAACACCAGUGGCGAAGGCGGCUCUCUGGUCUGUAACUGACGCUGAGGCUCGAAAGCGUGGGUAGCAAACAGGAUUAGAUACCCUGGUAGUCCACGCCGUAAACGAUGAACACUAAGUGUUGGAGGGUU